rnacentral:rRNA from 1 species
GACAGAGGGUGCAAACGUUGUUCGGAAUUACUGGGCGUAAAGCGAGUGUAGGCGGUUUCCUAAGUCAGGUGUGAAAGCCCCGGGCUCAACCCCGGGAAGUGCACUUGAAACUGGGAGGCUAGAGUAUCGGAGAGGUUGGUGGAAUUCUCGGUGUAGAGGUGAAAUUCGUAGAUAUCGAGAGGAACACCGGUGGCGAAGGCGGCCAACGUGGA